ACCCGAUCCGUUUCCCUCUUCACCCACACCCAGCAGUAGCAACGCACCUCUUUCCCCUUUCUCCCUUCACGCACAGCAGCAGUGGAAAAGGAACCAAGCAGCAGCCUCCAUUCCUCCUCUUCAACGCUGCGCAGCCCCAACCCCCUUCUUCACUGUCUUGCUGCGCAGCCAUCACACAUAUACGGUUUCCUUCCUCCCAUGAAAGAAACCGAAACAGAAGCAGAGAGGGAGAAGGAGAUCCGGAAGGGAGGAAGAGCACCGGGGGAAGCAGCAGCUCGCCGACCAGACGCGUUCUGCCACCACGUCCAGCUCCUCGCCGUCGCGCUACCGAUUUGCGGCCGAUUCCGUCAUCCACGCCAUUGUCCUUACUGCGAGACCAGCACCACGCCUCGCCGUCGAGCCAAGACUGGAAAGGAGAAGACACCACCGCGCACACUCGCCGCCAUCGCUGAAGGUCUGGGAGUCGCCGUCGAUUGCCUUUGAGCUGCGCCGGACCCAGAUCUGUGGAGUGAUGGGUGUGAUGCAGGAGCCCGGCGCGAGAUAGAGGGAGCGCGCGUGCACGUGCAAAGGAAGGGCCGCGCCGCUGUCACCGCCGUUGCCGAGCUGCCGCUGCCGCCGUGAAGGCUCUGCCUCUGCCUUUGUUACUGCUGGGGAGGAGACCAGAAUGGGUAAGUAGGAGGGGUUUCUGCCACUGUUGGAACUCUGUCGCUGUUGUUGUCAUGGCCGCCGCCACGCCUUUGGCUGUCGGGAGCGGUAAUAUGGCCGCCGGAACCGUCCUUGGUAAGCGUUUUGCUUCCGAAACCCCUUGGAUUGAGCACUCUGUUAUAGUCUGUUAGAAUUCUGAGACGCUGGUUACAUAGGGUUGAGUCCCGGUAUUGCGUGUCGAAUUUAAAACUGCUGUUGGGCCAUCGGAGCUUCUGGCCGCUAACGGAUCCUUGCAGGGUCGAUUUGAAAUCGCAGCCACUUUGCUUGUUCGUGCAGUAAGGGGAGUGGAUCCUCUCCAGUGGAGAAAAAACUGGAUGGUGUCUAGUGGAAGAUCUCACCUUUCAUUGUUUUCUCUUUUCUAUUUAAUUUUGGUCCCACUUAUAGAAUUAAAGGUGAGAGAUCACACUUUAUUCUCUCAAGUGUUAAAAAAAAUGGAGAGGAUCCAUUUCCGUGCAGUAAGUAUUUUACGUUUCGAAAAACCUCCGCGUUAAUGUCUUGUUAUGUAUAGUCUUUGCGGUAUUAAUGUGUUAGGAGUUAGAAUCCGAUUUGCUUAUGCCGCUUGUAGCUGUUUCUGCUUUUGAGAAAAUAAGUAGAGCCGAGGUUUUGUUGCCAGUGGUUUCGGGCUGAGCGAAAAGGAGUCAGUUAACGAGUUUGGGAUGUGGUUUCAAGCGUUUUGAGGAUAUGGGCGCUGAAGUCACGAAGAGUUUAUUUUAAGUGUUGUUGUGAUGCUCUGUAUUGCUUUAGAUUAUUAUUUUUGUACCCUCGCCUUUAUCUUGAUUUAUUUUGUGAGAGGGAUAGGAAUUGUAUUGGGUAAUGUUUGUAAUAUUAUUUAUGUAUAUGUAUGUAUAUAUGUAUGGA